rnacentral:piRNA from 1 species
UAUAGAGGAAAAUGGUGACAUAUUCGAG